rnacentral:rRNA from 1 species
GGUUUUCGGACCUAGAGACCGGCGCAUGGGUGCGUAACGCGUAUGCAAUCUACCUUUUACAGAGGGAUAGCCCAGAGAAAUUUGGAUUAAUACCUCAUAGUAUUAUUGAAUGGCAUCAUUUAAUAAUUAAAGUCACAACGGUAAAAGAUGAGCAUGCGUCCCAUUAGCUUGUUGGUAAGGUAACGGCUUACCAAGGCAACGAUGGGUAGGGGUCCUGAGAGGGAGAUCCCCCACACUGGUACUGAGACACGGACCAGACUCCUACGGGAGGCAGCAGUGAGGAAUAUUGGUCAAUGGGCGCAAGCCUGAACCAGCCAUGCCGCGUGCAGGAUGACGGUCCUAUGGAUUGUAAACUGCUUUUGUACAGGAAGAAACAGUUCUACGUGUAGAACCUUGACGGUACUGUAAGAAUAAGGAUCGGCUAACUCCGUGCCAGCAGCCGCGGUAAUACGGAGGAUCCAAGCGUUAUCCGGAAUCAUUGGGUUUAAAGGGUCCGUAGGCGGUUUUGUAAGUCAGUGGUGAAAGCCCAUCGCUCAACGGUGGAACGGCCAUUGAUACUGCAAGACUUGAAUUAUUAGGAAGUAACUAGAAUAUGUAGUGUAGCGGUGAAAUGCUUAGAGAUUACAUGGAAUACCAAUUGCGAAGGCAGGUUACUACUAAUAUAUUGACGCUGAUGGACGAAAGCGUGNGGAGCGAACAGGAUUAGAUACCCUGGUAGUCCACGCCGUAAACGAUGGAUACUAGCUGUUCGGAGCAAUCUGAGUGGCUAAGCGAAAGUGAUAAGUAUCCCACCUGGGGAGUACGUUCGCAAGAAUGAAACUC